rnacentral:lncRNA from 1 species
UCAGCUAGAAGCUGAAGCUCUACUGAGUGAAAGGCAGAAUGCCUGUAACGAAAGAGCUGAAGCGAUUAUUACUCGCCAUUCCAAUACAGUUGUACGACAGUCGCACAGAACCAGACUUAGAGACUCCAAUCGCUUCACUCCGUCGUAUCUAAGUCAACAAAUGUGUGGCUUCUCUGUCCAUGCUAAGGUGCUGUUUUAAUAUGGUUGCACAAUAUCGUGCCAUGUGAUGCCGCCUCUGCGGCUUUCCUGUCCCGCCUGUUUAUCCAUAUGUCUGUCCCAGCUGUUUAGCAUAGUUUCUGCUGGCACACUGGCACCCUGUUGUUGCAGCUGCGCGCGUAGCAUCGCGGCGUGAAUGGCUUGGUCUUGGUCUUGAAGCGGGGCCCCCUGCACCGCCCCUGUAUUGCAGUCCUUUGGAGAUUUCGACCUGGGAAGGCUCCCCUGCUCGUUAAAAUAACACUCUUUUCCUUACAAAGGUUGUUUGCAAUGUUUCUUUCUUUUCUUUUUUCCUUCCAGUAUCCCGUAUGAUAGAUUGAAUGGCCAUCCGCUGCUGUGCUCUUUUUGCGUUGCAGACUCAACUCGGGGAGGAGACUGGUUGGUUUGUCGGUUUGUUCGCCGCAAAGUGCCCCCGGGAGCCAUUGCUGGGCCUCUGCUGUGACACUUAGGUUUUGGUUGAUUGUUACUCGUCAGGUGCUCAUCCGGUUCUUAGCUGCUGGUGUCACCGCAAGUAAUAAGAGCAAACGCUGCUUAGUGACGUGAAGGCACACUGUGCCAAACAUGCAAUGUUCAUGCUGAAACCAUGUUUAUGUGUAUGGAGAUGACAUUGGUGGCCCGGUACUCCUUGUGAACACAUGGACAUGACCGCACCGUGUAUCAAAUUAUAGCGCUGAUUGCGUGAGCGAUCCAUGUUAUGGCUUCUUGCUUGGAAUCACUUCCUGACAGAAAUUCAUUCGGAUUCGGGCGAGGGUCAAGAACGCUUCCUUAUUACCCUGUGACACGUCUUUGGCUCGUACUAUAAUCCUGACAUCGGGUUUUUACAAAUCUGUAAAACAUGCUUGCUACAUAUGCUCCAGCAGGCGCAUCCGCCAUAUAAGUUUGCUCGCUCAUUGCUGCGGCCUUAUGAGCGGCAGCAUUAUGCCAUAUGUAUGGUUCCUAUCACUGCCAG